rnacentral:rRNA from 1 species
UACGGGGGGAGCAAGCGUUGUUCGGAUUUACUGGGCGUAAAGGGCGCGUAGGCGGCCAGCACAAGUCAGUUGUGAAAUCUCCGGGCUUAACUCGGAAAGGUCAACUGAUACUGUGCGGCUAGAGUGCGGAAGGGGCAACUGGAAUUCUCGGUGUAGCGGUGAAAUGCGUAGAGAUGUGGAGGAAUACCGAUGGCGAAGGCAGCCCCCUGGGAUAACACUGACGCUCAUGCACGAAAGCGUGGGGAGCAAACAGG